CCGGCGUGGGGCGGGCUCGAGCAGGCAAGGCGGGGGGGAUGUGUGGAGCCUGUCGCAGCCUGGGGCCGCGCCCCGCGCCCUCCCGCAGCUCAGCGCAGCGCAGCGCAGCGCCGCGCCGCCCCCGGGGCUCUGUCGCCCUGUGUCGAUCUGUUCCUGCGUCCCAUUCGCCUGAAUCGCAGUGCGGCGGUGCCCGGGCAGCUUGGUGCUUCCAGCGGCCUCCCUCCGGCACUUUCAGAGGGGCAGGGGCGUCCGCCGCUGCAACCAGCCCCGCGUGCACAAAACCACCCUGCCCUCUCCUUGGCUUCAGACUAACGCGGCCAUCUGUGUCAGUCUGGUCGUGGCCACUGGGAACGCGGCGCAUCACAGCCCACGCUCAGCAAUAACAAAACUGCAACAAAUUCACGCCCGCCUGGCGCUUCUGGAAAAACGAGCAGCUGUGGAGCUGAUCACCAGGGAUCCUGGUCUUCUCUGAUACUGGUUGCUAAAGCAGAUGCUGAUUAACAAUUUACAGCAGUUCUUCCCUACGGCAUCACCAUUGUCAUCUGUGUUGCUUUCUCAUCUCACUUUGCAGCUGUCAUUUCAGAAAAAUGUUAUUGUUCAACCUCAGCAACCCUAAUCAAUUUCCUUUUCAACUGCUGGUGAAUCAGUUGGAAGUUCAAUGGAAAUGGCUGCACAGUAAUAAUAAAGAGAAGGCAUUCCAGGUGCACAGACUACUGAUUUGUUUGUCUUUGCCAGAUACAGACAAAAAUAAAGCAUACUUCAUUCAGUCAUGUCUACACUUUCUUUCUUGAUGAAGUCCAUCUCUAUCAGUGAAGUACAGUAACAGAUAAAGGAGGAACACCAGGAUUAUGUGGUACCAAUGCGAUCGGGGGUGUACUUGUUUUGUGUGUUCUUCAUAAUUUCUACAGCUGUACAAACCUGCUUUUUGGCUCCUUAGAAUGGAGGAGCAAAUUCACUGGCACUUUUAAAAAAAAUGUCUGUGUUGCAUGUAUCUAUGUACUUCAUUAGAUGCAAGUACAUGUACAGUUUACCUACUGCAUCUGUAAUAGCAGGGAUGACGUGUAGGGGGUGCAUGUGCAUACCCUGAGUGUGGCGAUGCAUCCCCUACAAAAAGAUUGGCACUCUCCACCCCCCUGCCAACAGUGCUGGUGGUGUCUGCAGGAGCUCCCGCUUCCUGAUGCCACCACUGCACUCCUGCCACUGCUGUGCCCCUCCACGCCCAGCCGCCAGGGGCAUGCGUCGUUCACGUGUAAUGGCAUGGGUGGAAAUGGGGCUUCCUAUCCAUAAAGUGUCAUACAACUGUACCACAACACUGACCUGCAGGAGUCACCACCAUAACUCAUGUUUUCAGUACUGCAUUUCAGAACAUCAGGGUAAACCAACAGCUGCCAUUUUAACUGCUGCAUUGUCCAGCUCUUUGAAAAAUGAGCAAUGAAUAGAAAUCAUAGUAUUUCCAUUUCUUUUCCACUUUCCAUUUGUGGAUUCCAAAGCAUU